CUCUCUCUCUCACACACACACACACACACACCAGCGGCGUGUCUGCGCUUGAAUGGAGCAUGUUUUCGGUAAAAACUCCUUGCUUUCUCUUUCUAUUAUUCUGUGUGGUGUAAAUCUGUGUGUAAAUUCAUGGUUCCACAGUGGAAAUGGGACUCGUAGGCGAUAUGCUCGGGUGAUAAAUUCAGAGUAGAGGAGGCUGUGCUGAGGAACUGCGUUAUUCUCCUUAUGUGUCUGAUGCUGAAGAGGCUGAGUACAGCAGAGAAAUCCUUGGGAACGGUUGGAGGUAGUCUGAUGUUAUGGCAAUUUGGAAGAAGAACAUUUGCAUUGCAUGACAGUGCAGGCAGACAAUGGCGGAGAGAUGGCUGUGGACGUUAGUACCAUGGAGAGGAGGCUGGAACCCGCGCUCCAAAGCGCCUGGACAAGAGGAGGAACGCCGUGUUAGAGCCAAUGACCGUGACUACAAUGAGAAGUUCAGUUACUCUGACAAUCACAUCAAGACAGCGAAGUACACCUUCUAUACCUUUCUACCUAUUAACUUGUUUGAGCAGUUUCAGCGGUUUGCCAACGCAUACUUCUUAGUUCUGCUUAUUCUACAGCUAAUCCCGGAGAUCUCCUCUCUGUCCUGGUUCACCACUAUUGUGCCUUUGGUGUUGGUACUGACUAUCACCGCUGUAAAAGAUGCUACUGAUGACUAUUUCCGCCAUAAAAGUGAUCAACAAGUCAACACACGCCAGUCUCAGGUACUCAUCAAGGGAAUGCUACAAAAUGAGAAAUGGAUGAAUGUUAGAGUUGGAGACAUUAUAAAACUUGAGAACAACCAGUUUGUUGCUGCGGAUCUGCUCCUGCUCUCCAGCAGUGAGCCCUAUGGGCUGUGCUAUAUUGAGACAGCAGAGUUAGACGGAGAGACAAACCUGAAGGUGCGCCAAGCUUUGACUGUAACCUCAGACCUCGGAGCAGACGUUGCCAAGCUUGCAGAGUUCGAUGGAGAAGUUCUAUGUGAGCCUCCUAAUAAUAAACUGGAUAGAUUCACUGGGACUCUGUACUGGAAAGACAAUAAGUAUUCACUGGACAAUGAGAAAAUGUUGCUGAGAGGGUGUAUGCUCAGAAACACUGAGUGGUGCUUUGGCCUGGUCAUCUUUGCUGGACUCCAAACCAAGCUAAUGCAGAACUGUGGGAGGACGAAAUUCAAAAGGACCAGUAUUGACAAGUUGAUGAACACUUUAGUACUGUGGAUCUUUGGAUUCCUCAUCUGCAUGGGCAUCAUUCUGGCUAUUGGGAACACCAUCUGGGAGCAAAAAGUUGGGAAAAACUUCUGGGCAUACCUGCUUUGGGAUGAACUGCUAAGCAGUGCUGUCUUAUCUGGAUUCCUCACUUUCUGGUCUUACAUCAUCAUCCUCAACACCGUUGUUCCCAUCUCUCUUUAUGUUAGUGUUGAGGUGCUGCGUCUAGGCCACAGUUAUUUCAUAAACUGGGACCGGAAGAUGUACUACAGUUCUAAGGACACUCCGGCUGAGGCAAGAACCACCACCCUGAACGAGGAGCUGGGCCAAGUGGAGUUCAUCUUCUCAGAUAAAACAGGGACCCUCACUCAGAACAUUAUGGUCUUCAAUAAAUGCUCCAUCAAUGGCAAGACUUAUGGUGAUGUAUAUGAUGAGUUUGGACACAAAGUGGAUAUCACAGAGAAAACUCCGUGUGUGGAUUUCUCCUUCAACAUGCUAAUGGACAGGAAGUUUCGUUUCUAUGACAGCAGCCUGGUGGAAGCCAUUAAACUGGAGGAGCCAUUGGUGCAGGAAUUUUUCAGGUUGCUAGCUCUGUGCCAUACAGUCAUGCCUGAAGAGAGGAGCGAAGGGGAGCUGGUGUAUCAGGCUCAGUCACCAGAUGAAGGAGCCUUGGUUACUGCAGCUCGCAAUUUUGGCUUUGUAUUUCGAGCUAGAACACCAGAGACCAUUACCCUGUAUGAGAUGGGUCAACCUGUCACCUACCAGCUUCUGGCUAUACUGGAUUUCAACAAUGUCCGGAAGAGAAUGAGUGUUAUUGUGAGAAACCCAAAGGGGCAACUGAAGCUUUACUCUAAAGGAGCUGACACAAUAAUUUUUGACAGGUUAGACCCAUCCAAUGAGGACCUUAAGAGCACUACCUCAGAACACCUUAAUGAGUUUGCCGGUGAGGGUUUGAGGACGUUAGCUCUGGCCUAUAAGAAUUUAGAUGAGGACAUGUUUGAUGAGUGGAUGAAGAAGCUGCUGUUUGCCAGCACAUCACUUGACAACAGAGAAGAGAGACUCGGGGAUCUCUACGAGGAGAUAGAACAGGGUCUGAUGCUUCUUGGAGCUACAGCCAUAGAAGAUAAAUUGCAGGAAGGAGUGCCAGAAACUAUUAGCUGUUUGAGCCUGGCCAAUAUUAAGAUCUGGGUUCUUACUGGGGACAAACUAGAGACAGCGAUGAAUAUUGGCUACUCCUGUAACAUGUUGAGAGAUGACAUGAAUGAGGUGUUCGUAAUCUCAGGUCACAGCACACUUGAGGUUCAGCAGGAGCUGAGAAAUGCCAAAGAGAGAAUUAUGGGUCCUAACAAAGAGAGGUUCACCAGUGGCCAAGAUGUGACAAAGACUGAUAUGUAUGCCAGUGACUCUGUAUUUGAGGAAACCAUUAUUGCAGAAUAUGCACUUAUCAUUAAUGGACAUAGCUUGGCGCAUGCACUGGAGGCAGACCUGGAGCAGAUCCUGUUGGAAGUGGCCUGCUUAUGUAAGACUGUGAUCUGCUGUAGAGUAACUCCUCUGCAGAAAGCUCAGGUGGUGGAGCUGGUCAAGAGGCAUAAAAGAGCUGUUACCCUGGCCAUUGGGGAUGGAGCCAAUGAUGUCAGCAUGAUCAAGACGGCCCACAUUGGUGUGGGCAUCAGUGGGCAGGAGGGCAUGCAGGCUGUUCUGGCCUCAGAUUACUCCUUUGCCCAGUUCCGCUAUCUGCAGCGCCUCCUGCUGGUCCACGGCCGUUGGUCCUACCACCGCAUGUGCAACUUCCUCUGCUACUUCUUCUACAAGAACUUUGCUUUCACACUGGUGCAUUUCUGGUUUGGGUUUCUGUGUGGCUUCUCUGCACAAACCGUGUAUGACCAGUGGUUCAUCACCCUGUUCAAUAUAGUCUACACCUCUUUGCCUGUUCUUGCUAUGGGCUUGUUUGACCAGGACGUGAAUGAGCAGUACAGUCUGCGCUACCCUAACUUGUACCAACCUGGGCAGCUUAAUCUCUUGUUCAACAAGCGGAAGUUCUUCAUGUGCACCAUCCAGGGUGUGUACGCUUCAUUUGUCCUCUUCUUCAUCCCCUAUGGGGCUUUCCUGUGUGCUGUGCGAGAUGAUGGCACCUACAUAUCUGAUCAGCAAUCCUUCGCCGUUACUAUAGCAACCUCCCUGGUCAUCGUGGUUAGCGUCCAGAUUGGUCUUGACACAAACUACUGGACUGCUGUGAACCACUUCUUUAUAGUGGGUAGUCUGGCCAUGUACUUCGCAAUACUGUUUGCAAUGAACAGUGACGGCAUCUUCAGAAUCUUUCCAAACCAGUUCCCAUUUGUAGGCACAGCACGUAACUCUUUAAAUCAAAAAAGUGUCUGGCUCGUCAUUCUCCUUGUGACGGUGGUUUGUAUAAUGCCGGUUGUGGCUGUACGCUUCCUUAAGACAGACCUCCAUCCUACACAAACUGACAAAGUGCGCUUGCUUCAGCAGGCCAGCAGGAGGCAGGGGCCUCAGGAGCAGAAUCUGAGACGAGUGCGCAGGACCAGUUCCCGCCGCUCCGCCUACGCCUUUGCCCACCAGCAGGGAUACGGAGAGCUCAUUACUUCUGGCAAGAACAUGAAGGUCCCCACGUCCUCCACCUCAGCCUUCCCUGGCUCAUCUCCACAGAGACUCAAAAGCAGUACCAGUUGGUUGGAGAACAUAGCAAAAAAGGAAACAGACAUGAACCAUACAACAGCUGCUGAAGAGACUAUGUAUUCUGGAGUUACAGAGAAUCCCAGACAUGGAAGCAAGCACAGCCUAGAGUCACAGUACACAAUCUGAUCAACUGGCAGACAAUACAAGAUGUAGGACAAGCUGAAAAAUCCCAGUUCAGUGAAGGAUUACAGCAACUCUCUCUACACUGGUAUUACUCAGACAUCUAUGGCCUGAUUACAAUUAGUCCAGAAUGCUUGUGCCAGACUCCUGAUGUGAUGGGUACACAGAAGUGCGAACACAUUACCCCUACUCUUGCAUCACUACACUGGCUACUGGUGCGCUACAGAACUGAUUUCAAAACACUACUAGUUUAAAAUUCUCUUAACAAUCUAGCUCUGUUAUACCUUAUGGAGCUCCUAUCCAUAAUAGCCCAUCUAAAACUGUCAGGUCAUGUGAUCAAGCGCUACGAACGGUUCCCAGAUCUAGCUUGAAGCUUAGGGAUGUGUCACGGAAUCCAAGUAAUGAAGGUUAGGAUGGAUGCAAGUGCAGAUAAGAGCUUUUAAUAAAGAGAGGGAGGCAGACAAAUCCAAAUCAUGAGACAAUAGCGUGGUCAAGAAACAGCCAAUGGGCCAGGCGAUCUGUAAAUAGGUGUGAACUAGGCAAGGCAAGAAUUGAGAACAAGGAACAAGAAGCAAGAUCAAAGAACAUGAAACAAAACGAGGAAGAGGGUACAAACGCUUAGUAUGGUGAUAACACUCAAUACUUCGCAAAGAGUGAAUUAUUCAAAUGUACUUUUAAACUGUGGUGUGAUUUUGUGUGAGAUUGGAUGCAGGUGUGCAUAGAAUGAAUGAGUGUUCUGGGAAUUGCAGUUCAUGGCGGCCAUGUUUAUAGGCCGCAGUGCAGGAUGGGUCAUUGGUUUGCUGUGAUAUGACAAGGUGAUUGUGCUUUUGCUGUGGCUGGCCCUAAGCUUUGGAAUAGCCUGCCUCUACACAUUAGAACUGCUCCUAUUUGAACUAUUAUUAAAUCAAAGUUAAAAAAAACUUAUUUAUUUUUCUUGCCUCUUGACCAGUCAUAGAGAUUGUUAUGGAAAGACUGUUACAAUAUUAGGAUUCCUUUUGAUAUUUCUAUUUUAGCUUUUGUAACUAUUGUUGUACAGCACUUUGGUCAACCUAUGUUGUUUUUAAUGGUGCUAUAUACACAUGAACUUGACAUUGACAUCAACUUAUCCCUAAUCCCAUGUUUUGACAUGUUGAGAAGCACUUGUUAAACUGGUUAAUGAUUCAGUCUAUAGAUGGUUUGUAUAGAAGCCACAGCAGACAGUGUUACCUAAUAAUGUAAUAAACAUAGGAAAUUCAAGACUAAAAGAGUUGAUAAGAGAUUCUGUUUUACU